rnacentral:rRNA from 1 species
CCUACGGGUCGCAGCAGUGGGGAAUAUUGCACAAUGGGGGAAACCCUGAUGCAGCGACGCCGCGUGAGUGAAGAAGUAAUUCGUUAUGUAAAGCUCUAUCAGCAGGGAGGAAAAUGACGGUACCUACGUAAGAAGCCCCGGCUAACUACGUGACAGCAGCCGCGGGAAUACGUAGGGGGCAAGCCUUAGCCGGAUUUACUGGGUGUAAAGGGAGCGUAGACGGCAGUGCAAGUCUGGAGUGAAAGGCGGGGGCUCAACCCCCGGACUGCUCUGGAAACUGUACGGCUAGAGUGCAGGAGAGGGAAGUGGAAUUCCGAGUGUAGCGGUGAAAUGCGUAGAUAUUAGGAGGAACACCAGUGGCGAAGGCGGCUUAUUGGAC